rnacentral:rRNA from 1 species
CCCACGGGUGGCAGCAGUGGGGGAUAUUGCACAAUGGGGGGAACCCUGAUGCAGCGACGCCGCGUGGGUGAAGGAGUAUUUCGGUAUGUAAAGCCCUAUCGGCAGGGAAGAAUUUAGACGGUACCUGACUAAGAAGCCCCGGCUAAUUCCGUGCCAGCAGCCGCGGUAAUACGGAAGGUCCGGGCGUUCUCCGGAUUGAUUGGGUUUAAAGGGAGCGUAGGCCGCAUGUCAAGCGUGCUGUGAAAUGUCCGGGCUCAACCCGGGCCUUGCAGCGCGAACUGGCGUGCUUGAGUCCGCGGAAAGCAGGCGGAAUUCGUCGUGUAGCGGUGAAAUGCUUAGAUAUGACGAAGAACCCCGAUUGCGAAGGCAGCUUGCUGCAGCGGAACUGACGCUGAUGCUCGAAAGCGCGGGUAUCGAACAGGAUUAGAUACCCCAGUAGUC